rnacentral:lncRNA from 10 species
UUAAUUUAGACUUAAUCUUGUAUCUCAGAAUGUAAACUAACAUGAUUUUUGAAUACCUACUAUGUGCUCAGUAUGUACAACUUCAGGAGAAAGACAACUUGUGUUGUCUCUUACAGGAAAGAAGAAUAGCUAGAAACAGUAAUGUUAUUGACCACCAACUGACCAUCUAUUGAUCAUUUAAUAUACUAUUGACCACCUUCUUUAACCUUCUUCUUUGUUUUCUGGCUUCCUGGAUUAUUUCACCUGUUCUGUGCCUGGGCUCUUUAUCAUCUUGGAAGAAAAUAGCAAAACCAGGAAAUCAGGCUCGUUAGUUACACUACAAAUAUAUGCUGUGCAUAUAUUUAGCACAGCAUAUAUUUGUAGCUAGACCUUCAAUGCCAGUUGUCAAUCAUUAUUUCCCUUCAUUUGUUAUAGAGAGAGUGUGUUGGUAUAUGCCAGCAAUAUUCUAGGUGUGAGAAAUAGAGUCUCAAACAAGACAUUAUCUAUGUAUUUAUUUAUUUAGAGACAGAAUCUUGCUCUGUCACCCAGGCUGGAUUGCAGUGGUGCGAGCUCAGCUCACUGCAACCUCCGCCUCCCGGGUUCAAGCGAUUCUCCUGCCUCAGCCUCCCGAGUAGCCUGGCUAAUUUUGUAUUUUUAGUAGAGUCGGGGU